GUGCCAGCAGCCGCGGUAAUACGUAGGGUGCGAGCGUUAAUCGGAAUUACUGGGCGUAAAGCGUGCGCAGGCGGUCUCACAAGCUGGGUGUGAAAGCCCCGGGCUCAACCUGGGAGGUGCAUUCAGGACUGUGAGGCUAGAGUGCGGCAGAGGGAGGUGGAAUUCCAGGUGUAGCAGUGAAAUGCGUAGAGAUCUGGAGGAACACCGAUGGCGAAGGCAGCCUCCUGGGCCGACACUGACGCUCAUGCACGAAAGCGUGGGGAGCAAACAGGAUUAGAAACCCCAGUAGUCC
rnacentral:rRNA from 1 species